rnacentral:rRNA from 1 species
AGUGAACGCUGGCGGUAGGCCUAACACAUGCAAGUCGAACGGCAGCACAGUAAGAGCUUGCUCUUACGGGUGGCGAGUGGCGGACGGGUGAGGAAUACAUCGGAAUCUACUUUUUCGUGGGGGAUAACGUAGGGAAACUUACGCUAAUACCGCAUACGACCUACGGGUGAAAGCAGGGGAUCUUCGGACCUUGCGCGAUUGAAUGAGCCGAUGUCGGAUUAGCUAGUUGGCGGGGUAAAGGCCCACCAAGGCGACGAUCCGUAGCUGGUCUGAGAGGAUGCCCCGCCCCCUGUGACCUGGACACCGUCCCAACCCCCCAGGGGAGGCAGCAGUGGGGAAUAUUGGAAAAUGGGCGAAAGCCUACCCCAGCCAUCCCGCGGGGGUGAAGAAGCCCUUCGGGUUGUAAACCCCUUUUGUUGGGAAAAAAAACCCGCAGGUUAAUCCCCCGCUGUUCUGGCGGUCCCCAAAGAAUAAGCCCCGGCUAACUUCGU